CGUGACGUGCGCUGCGCCGCUGCAACCGGGCCUGUAUGCGUAGCAAUCAGACCACGGCCUACCUCCUGCCGAGCCAUGGACUGGCAGGAGUGCACAUAAACCUGAUCUUUCACGGUGGACUCUGAAGUACGAGGUCCUUGGGUGGGAUGUAGAAUUUUCUUGGCUUGCACGUAACAUGACAAAAACCAAUUGGCAAUGUCUCCAAGGUCUUCCUAAUAGAGGUGUUGCCCGGUUUUCCCCAAAAACUCAUCCUCUUGUAGAGUACAACAACAGUGGCAUAUGAAGUUCCUGAAAUUUUGGCACCAGUUGCAUCAGUACUGAAACUAUUUCUGGAAAGCUUGCUUCUCAAAGGUUUAGAACGCUUUGCCACAUUUGCCAAGGAGCAUAACCGCAAGAUACCUCAGGCUUAACAACAUCAUUACUCUUUUGUGUUCACCCUCUGUCAUGGAGCGUGCUUUGCUCUGCUGAGCACUCGUGGGUAAGGAAACAAAAUAGAAACUUUUUCCAGGGUUCCCAAUGAAAAUCUCAUGACUUAACACGGUUUAGUUGGAGAAAAUACAG